GUAGGGAAUCUUGCGCAAUGGGCGAAAGCCUGACGCAGCCAUGCCGCGUGAAUGAUGAAGGUCUUAGGAUUGUAAAAUUCUUUCACCGGGGACGAUAAUGACGGUACCCGGAGAAGAAGCCCCGGCUAACUUCGUGCCAGCAGCCGCGGUAAUACGAAGGGGGCUAGCGUUGCUCGGAAUUACUGGGCGUAAAGGGAGCGUAGGCGGAUAGUUUAGUCAGAGGUGAAAGCCCAGGGAUCAACCUUGGAAUUGCCUUUGAUACUGGCUAUCUUGAGUAUGGAAGAGGUAUGUGGAACUCCGAGUGUAGAGGUGAAAUUCGUAGAUAUUCGGAAGAACACCAGUGGCGAAGGCGACAUACUGGUCCAUUACUGACGCUGAGGCUCGAAAGCGUGGGGAGCAAACAGGAUUAGAAACCCUUGUAGUCC
rnacentral:rRNA from 1 species